GACGGAGGAUGCAAGUGUUAUCCGGAAUCACUGGGCGUAAAGCGUCUGUAGGUGGUUUAAAAAGUCCACUGUUAAAAAUUGAAGCUUAACUUCAAAGAUGCCGUGGAAACUUUUAAACUUGAGGAUGAUAGGGGUAGAGGGAAUUUCCAGUGGAGCGGUGAAAUGCGUAGAUAUUGGAAAGACCACCAAUGGCGAAGGCACUCUACUGGGCCAUUACUGACACUGAGGCGCGAAAGCGUGGGGAGCGAACAGG
rnacentral:rRNA from 1 species